rnacentral:lncRNA from 1 species
AGAAUAUUUUCUCCACAGCAGUUUAUUUUUAAAAGCGAUUAUAUUCUCACUGAUUAUUAGCAUCACAAAUUUUCCUUUAAGUGGUAGAUUGCUCAUGGAUUUUUUUUAAAAAUUCUGGUAGACAGCAUUCUACUUAUCACACAAAAAGACAACAAAUUUGGAAGAACUGUCUUAUGUCAAACAAAGAUUUGUCUUCAGGUUCAACAACAUUUACAGCUACUGUCCCAAGGUAAUCUGUGAGCCUCAGUGUGGUAUAAAAUAUUUUCGUAUCCCAUAUCAUUUCAUUGCCCAUAUUAUUUUUUUAAUUUAUGUAUUUAAGAGAGAAAGAGAGAGGGAGAGAACGUUAAACAGACUCCCAGCUGAGCAUGGAGCUCACAUGGGGCUUGAUCCCAUGAUCCUGAAAUCAUGACCUACGCUGAAAUCAGUAGUCAGGUAUGUAACUGACUGAGCCACCCAGGCACCCCUCACUUCCCAUAAUCAUUUUUUAAGUAUUACAAAUAUUAGCUAUAUGUUAAUUUAUAAAAUUAACCACAUCAGUGUCUUCCUGUAGCAUGCAGUAGCUCAGUUGUGAAUGGUGCAGCAAAGCAUUCCAUGUUUGAGCAUAGCAGUGGAACUUAACCCUGAAUCCUUCGGCUGCAUUCAAGAAGCCAUUCCUCUGUUGCUUCACUUACAUGGUUCUUGCAGAAACUACCGCUUUCACUAAAGAAGUCAUUUAUUAAUUAGAAUAUAUCUUUCCUAGUAGACCUUUCUUUAGUUGCUCACAAAAAAAUAAGUUCUUGGUUUAUUUCAUUAUUGAAACAGGAUGUAUCCAAUAGAAGAACAUGAGAAAUAUUUGAAACAUCUUAAUUUUCAUUCACUAUAUGGUAUCAUAUACAUCAUAUAUAUAUAUACAUGUAUAUCUUUCAUUGAAUUUUUUCUAAUUUCACUUGUAUAUGGUGACCAAAGAGCGCACUUAACUUGUUACCAUAUUGGUUUCCAUGUACUAUUUCUACUAUUUCUGAUUAGAACAGAAAGACAACUGUUUCCCCUAAAGGCAUGUCUUUUGCCAUUAAGUCAGAAACUUAAAAAGAUGUGUUGGAUAUCUAAUAUAAAUUUUGACAAAAUUUCUAUGUAUAUUUAGAAGGCAUUGGUCUGCUAGGACUGCCAUAACUUCAUCAUAUUCAAAUAUGUUUCAUCAUUAGGUGAUUUUGUUGUCUAAAACAAUAAAGAUGUGGCAUCCAUAAAAAUGCUCAUUUGUGCACAUUUUUAAAACUUCAACAAAAAUUUUUAGUCUCUUCAAAAAUCUUCCAACAAAAAGUUCCAGUGGUUUAUUUACUUGUGAAAAAUUGAAAGAAAUUUUCUAAAGGCUUGAACUGAGUAUUGCAUAUCUUCGGAUGUCACCAAGAAAACAGAAAGGUAGGUAUUUGUCUUUAUAUUCUGGAGAGUUUCUAAGUUAUGCCAUACUGCCAACAGACAAGUUGGCUAUACAACAGCAAUUUAUUUUCAGACAGUUCUGAAGGCUGGAAGUCCAAGGUCAAGAUAAGAUGCUGGCUGGGUUGGUUUCUGGUGAGGGCCCUUUCCUUGGCUUGUAGGUGGCUGCCUCCCGGCUGUGUCCUCACAUGACCUUUUCUCUAUGUGCGUGCAUCUCUGGUAGCUCUUCUUCUCAUGGGGACACCAGUCCUGUGGGGUUAGGACUCCACCUUUCUGAUCUCAUUUAACCUUAAUUAUCUUCUUAAAGGCCCUAUUUCCAAAUACAGCCACAAUUGGGGGUUGGGGCUUUGAUAUAUGAAUUUUGUGGAAAUACAAUUCAAUUUAUUACAGUGAUUUGACUUUUUCACCUUUGAUGGUUGUAAAACCAAAUAUUGAAAUAAACUAGACUUAGACGUUCAAUUCUCUCUGUCACAAAAUGUUAAGCAAAUAUUUCUGGAUGACAUAAAAAUAUCACUCUCACUGAAUCUAUUAUUUUUUCCAGUGAAAAAAGUUUUUUUGGCCCUUAAUAAGCAAAAUGAGGUGCUUUUAAAUGUUAUUUUAUCUUUAACUCAUUUGUUAUUUUAUAUAUGCUUUUGGCCCUUAAUAAGCAAAAUGAGGUGCUUUUAAAAUGUUAUUUUAUCUUUAACUCAUUUGUUAUUUUAUAUAUGUUUUAUAGUAUGUAUACCAUAUUUGCUCAUUGUUAUUGGUGGAGGUAUGUGACCAUAACGUUUGAAUAUCAUUGCCACAGAAAACCAAACCUCACAUAGGCCAAAGAACAAUUCUAGAACUGAGUACAGUAUUUGUUACUUUUAAUCACAUUCAUUGUGACAGUAAUCAAAUUCAUUGUGACAUUUUGUUUAAUCGUUGAGAACACCUGUGACAAGAUGCUUUCAUCAGCAACCUCGGGGAAAUAAAAUAUUUAUUA